UACGUAGGGCGCAAGCGUUUGUCCGGAAUUAUUGGGCGUAAAGAGCUCGUAGGCGGUCUGUCGCGUCGGCUGUGAAAACCCGGAGCUCAACUCCGGGCCUGCAGUCGAUACGGGCAGACUGGAGUUCGGCAGGGGAGACUGGAAUUCCUGGUGUAGCGGUGAAAUGCGCAGAUAUCAGGAGGAACACCGGUGGCGAAGGCGGGUCUCUGGGCCGAUACUGACGCUGAGGAGCGAAAGCGUGGGGAGCGAACAGG
rnacentral:rRNA from 1 species